rnacentral:rRNA from 1 species
AACUAGUCUAACCAAGCAAAAAGAAUUUUAGUUUGAACCCCCGAACCCAGGCGAGCUAUCUUAUGGUAGCUUAUAUGAGCGCACCCAUCUCUGUAGCAAAAGAGUGGGAAAACCCUAAGAUAGAGGUGACAGACCUAACGAGCCUGGUGAUAGCUGGUUGCUCCAAAAAAGGAUUUUAGUCCUACUUAAAAUUUUUCAGAUCCUCCUUAAUCCUAUUUUAAAGCUAUUCAAAUAAGGUACAGCCUAUUUGAAAAAGGAUACAACCUUGAUUUAUGGGUAGUCAUCUUUCAUUUGUAACAAAGUAGGCCUAAAAGCAGCCACCUUAGACAAAAGCGUCAAAGCUUUCUUACACCCAAAGAUAAUUCCAACACCUUUCUCUACCCCUUUACCCCCUAUAGAGCAACUCUAUACUUCUAUAGAAACUUUUAUGUUAAAACUAGUAAUAAGAAGCAGACCCUUCUCUUAAACGCAAGUUUGCGUCAGUUCGGACACCCCCCUGACAAUUAAC